rnacentral:lncRNA from 1 species
UUGCAGGAUCAAAGCUUGGGCAAGGUGUCCCCAAUUCUGAGCAGAAGGGGUUGUAUUUAUAGGCUAUGCAAUUGAUUUCCACACACUUCCAUCAAAAUUCCAAAAAUAGUAAUUCUUACUUGCAUGGAUGCAUGGGCAUGUGAUAGGCCCAUCAAAUGAUGUAAAAAGGUACAAAAUUGAUCAUGAGAAAUGCUGAAAGUGUGUUAUGAAGCCAUGCAAUUGAGAUUGAAAAAUGAUCAUGAAAUUCAUCCAAAUGGAACCUUG